rnacentral:rRNA from 1 species
GAUGAACGCUGGCGGCGUGCCUAAUACAUGCAAGUCGAGCGAACGGACGAGAAGCUUGCUUCUCUGAUGUUAGCGGCGGACGGGUGAGUAACACGUGGAUAACCUACCUAUAAGACUGGGAUAACUUCGGGAAACCGGUGCUAAUACCGGAUAAUAUUUUGAACCGCAUGGUUCAAAAGUGAAAGACGGUCUUGCUGUCACUUAUAGAUGGAUUCGCGCUGCAUUAGCUAGUUGGUAAGGUAACGGCUUACCAAGGCAACGAUGCAUAGCCGACCUGAGAGGGUGAUCGGCCACACUGGAACUGAGACACGGUCCAGACUCCUACGGGAGGCAGCAGUAGGGAAUCUUCCGCAAUGGGCGAAAGCCUGACGGAGCAACGCCGCGUGAGUGAUGAAGGUCUUCGGAUCGUAAAACUCUGUUAUUAGGGAAGAACAUAUGUGUAAGUAACUGUGCACAUCUUGACGGUACCUAAUCAGAAAGCCACGGCUAACUACGUG